rnacentral:rRNA from 1 species
CGCCUUGCCACGCCCGCUCAGUCAGUAGUUUGACUCCUGGCUCAGGACAACGCUGGCGGCGUGCUUAACACAUGCAAGUCGAACGGUAAGGCUCCAGCUUGCUGGGGUACACGAGUGGCGAACGGGUGAGUAACACGUGGGUGACCUGCCCUGCACUUCGGGAUAAGCCUGGGAAACUGGGUCUAAUACCGGAUAGGACCGCACCGUGAGGGUGUGGUGGAAAGUUUUUUCGGUGUGGGAUGGGCCCGCGGCCUAUCAGCUUGUUGUGGGUAAUGGCCUACCAAGGCGGCGACGGGUAGCCGGCCUGAGAGGGUGGACGGCCACAUUGGGACUGAGACACGGCCCAG